UGAUCCUGGCUCAGGACGAACGCUGGCGGCGUGCCUAACACAUGCAAGUCGAACGAAGCACUGUGGAUAGAGACUUCGGUCAAUUGAAACUUUGACUUAGUGGCGGACGGGUGAGUAACGCGUGAGGAACCUGCCUUUCAGAGGGGGGACAACAGUUGGAAACGACUGCUAAUACCGCAUGACACAGCGAGAUCGCAUGGUCUUGCUGUCAAAGAUUUAUCGCUGAAAGAUGG
rnacentral:rRNA from 1 species